rnacentral:rRNA from 1 species
CCCAUCAGAAGGGGAUAACACCUGGAAACAGGUGCUAAUACCGUAUAACAAUCAAAACCGCAUGGUUUUGAUUUGAAAGGCGCUUUCGGGUGUCGCUGAUGGAUGGACCCGCGGUGCAUUAGCUAGUUGGUGAGGUAACGGCUCACCAAGGCCACGAUGCAUAGCCGACCUGAGAGGGUGAUCGGCCACAUUGGGACUGAGACACGGCCCAAACUCCUACGGGAGGCAGCAGUAGGGAAUCUUCGGCAAUGGACGAAAGUCUGACCGAGCAACGCCGCGUGAGUGAAGAAGGUUUUCGGAUCGUAAAACUCUGUUGUUAGAGAAGAACAAGGAUGAGAGUAACUGUUCAUCCCUUGACGGUAUCUAACCAGAAAGCCACGGCUAACUACGUGCCAGCAGCCGCGGUAAUACGUAGGUGGCAAGCGUUGUCCGGAUUUAUUGGGCGUAAAGCGAGCG